ensembl:lncRNA
UGUGUGUCCUGGUGGGCUCCCUCCUGCAAUUACAGGGGUUGAUGUCCUUAGCCAAAGGAGCCCCUCUGGCUGCUGAUCGGCAGGAGCAUUUUUCAGGUCUGCUGCCUCUUGUCCCUGUCCUCAUGGAGGGAUUCUUCUCUCACAGUCACUUCUCUUCCUGCACCUGGGGCUGCAGUUGCAGGUGCAGCCAAUCGCUGGGAGCUUACACCUCCUGGCUGGCAGCAGCAUGGAGCUUUGGUGCAUGUAGGGCAGAGUGACCCAUAGUCAGAUCUGUUCUGGGUGCAUCCCUCGCCCUUCUCUUCCACUCUGUGUCCUCGCCCCAGGUUCCUCUGCUGCCGUAUCUGUCCUCAGUUACUUGGCAUUGUUUGUGGGCUGAUUUGAGAAGGAAGCCAGCACCUGCUUCUGCAGCUCAUCAGCAGUUUGUCUGGCUUUCUUCAAAUCUCUAAGUGCUGUGAAAAGCUCCUGCAGGAGGGAGAUUGGAAUGUCGGUCCCAGCGAGAUUUGGAAGCUGUGGCAGACCUGAGGGUCUCUGCUCCAGCAUGAAGACUGGAACGUUGGUCCCAGUGGGAUUUGGAGGCUGUGGCAGACCUGAGGGUCUCUGCUGCUGCACGAAGAGGACUGGAACGUUGGUCCCAGUGGGAUUUGGAGGCUGUGGCAGACCUGAGGGUCUCUGCUCACUGGAGGACUGCUUUUUCUUUGGGGACUUUCUUCUUGGAGGAGCUGGCUUGUCCUGGGUGUGUCCCUUGCCCUUCUGCUUCUGCCCCCUGGUAGCAUCUGGCAGUAAUCCACUACUCACUGCAGCUGUGCCUGCCUGGACAUCUGCUAGAACAGACUGAGAUGGGGCAGGAGCUUCAGUCUCCAAGAGCAGCCUUCUCCGAGGUAGCAGCACGUUGGCUGGCUCUCUAUGGGCAACAGGAGCCAGCACGUCCAGGUGCCUGUGGCUGCUGCCACCCUGGCUCAAUGCUUUUUCGGCACCUCUGGCCUCACUGGCAUCGCUGAAAGUCUUAUCUUGAGAUGCCACCAUGUCCUUCCUCAUUGCCUCCUGAGGUGUACGUGGGUUUUUCUUUUUGGCCAGUAGACUCAGUGAUCGUCUACUCCUACGUUGAUCUGUGUCCAGCCUGGCCUGCUCUAAGGAUCUGUUUUUCAUGAUGGGCUCUCUUCCCUUCUUUGAGAGCUUCUUAGUUGCCUUUCUGAUCAGGGAAUAGAGGGCCAUGCAGGCAGCUCGGAGCUUGGCCCCGGCAUUCUGAAUGAAAUGGCACAGGAGGGCUGGUGCACAGCAGUUUCUGCACAGCACAGGUGGUGUCUCUGGUCUAGGAGUCGUGUGUUCUGCUGCUUCUUGCCUGGGCGUCAUCUCUGCGUGUGCUGCUUGGGGUCUGAAUGGUCUACCCGGUGGCAGACGCCUCCAUGGCAGAACCGAAGAACUCUCCACGAGGGUACGUUCAGGGAGCCCCUCUGGCUGCUGGGCAGCAGUGGUAUUUUUCUUGUCCUGUUGCUCACUGGCCUUGACCUCGGGUGAAUUCCUCUCUCGAACUGUUGCUCCUCCUGCAACAACCGGGGCUGCAGUGUCAGAUGGAGCCACGCCCUGGGAUCCUUCGUUGUUAGGCUGGGUGUAGUAGUCUCUAUAAAAUUCCAACUUUCGCCUCUCAACAUAUUCAUAUUGCUCCAGCCACAGAUGCAUCAUCUUGAUCUGAUGGUCAUCAGGGCCUUCAUAGAUUCUGCAGCAGGCAAUGUGGACUGGAAUCCUUGUUUCUUGUCUGCACGUAUCUGUCUCGGGGGCAGAUUUUCGCCAUAGGACAAGGGCCCAUGCUGCUGACCUCCUUGCCAGAGCUUGCCCAUGCCCACGCUGGAUGAGCGAGUAAGUGGGCCUCCUUGAGUGCCUCAGAGGAUGGGGAAGCUGGGAGUCUCUCUGACCCAGGACAGGCUCUGAGAAACUCCUCUUCAGGAACUGUGGUGCCUGCAUUUUUAUGUUAGGAUGCUCCAAAUGACUUUGCAUAGCCUCAUCCUCUAAGGGCAGGUCCUGCACCCUGGGAGCCACCAUCACAUCAGGCUUUCUCUGAUCACUGAGGCCCAGUCCCUGCUCCGCUUUCCUUUCUGGGAUGGAGCUUUCCAAGUUCUCUUGGGCUUUUGGGUGUCGGUAAGGUGCCUCCAUUUCCCCACAACUGGUGCUCAACGGAUACAGCGAUGUCCUCAAAGAGCAGCGGUUUUCACUCACUGUGACCGAGCUGGUGGAAUCAUCGCUGCCCUCAGGCAGUUCCAAGGUGAGCCUGUGUGAGAUGGAGAAAGAGAAGGAAGAUGAGGGCGGUUCUGAGCCAAACUCUCCUGAGGACCCCGGGGCUUUUCUGUCGCUUCAAAGGUGUUGGCAGGCUGUGUCAUUUCCACAGGGUCCCCAGAAGUGUGUGCCCAAGGUUCCAUCCCCGCUUACAGGGCACAGAGCAAGGGUGACACUGUCAUGUCUGUGCCUCAGUGGUAAACCCUUCUACAAGGGCAUUGCCUCUCAGAUUUCAAG